rnacentral:misc_RNA from 1 species
GUGAAUCAUCGAAUCUUUGAACGCAAAUUGCACUCUCUGGCAUUCCUGGGAGUGUGCCUGUUUGAGGGUCAGCCUAAAAAAAAUCGACAUCGUUGCUGUUUCGCGGUGGCGUUCGUCGGAAAUUGUGUUAUCUUAAAUCCUUGGUUUAAGCGACUUAAAUUUUUCUUUACGAUUCCGUAAACGUUUCCAAGAUUUAUUUCUUUACACGUUUAUGGUAUCGAUUUUAUUUGGCGUGGUCGUUAUAUCGAAUCAUGUCCAUAAUUUUUCGUUAACUGACCUCAGACAGGUAAGUGUACCCG